rnacentral:rRNA from 1 species
UGGGGAAUAUUGGACAAUGGGCGAAAGCCUGAUCCAGCAAUGCCGCGUGAGUGAUGAAGGCCUUAGGGUUGUAAAGCUCUUUUACCCGGGAUGAUAAUGACAGUACCGGGAGAAUAAGCCCCGGCUAACUCCGUGCCAGCAGCCGCGGUAAUACGGAGGGGGCUAGCGUUGUUCGGAAUUACUGGGCGUAAAGCGCACGUAGGCGGCUUUGUAAGUUAGAGGUGAAAGCCCAGGGCUUAACCCUGGAAUUGCCUUUAAGACUGCAUCGCUAGAAUUGUGGAGAGGUAAGUGGAAUUCCGAGUGUAGAGGUGAAAUUCGUAGAUAUUCGGAAGAACACCAGUGGCGAAGGCGACUUACUGGACACAUAUUGACGCUGAGGUGCGAAAGCGUGGGGAGCAAACA